rnacentral:lncRNA from 1 species
UGAUCACAAGUGCAGGAUUCCGGCGACAUUCGAUUAGGAUUCCGGUUAGGUCAAUUUGAAUUCAGCGAGUGGUUGCAAUUGAUAAGAUUUGAUUAGCAUGGAACAUCGAAAGGAUGAGGUUGUUGAGAGGAUCAACUUUAGAUCAUAAAAUGAUGCACUCAUAGCUGCGACUUCAAGAUGGAAAGGUUGAACAUGAUCAUACAAGAGAUGGUGAAAGAAAAAGAAGAGAAAGAAAGGUUGAACGGAAGGAUGACAAAUGUUGAACGAUGCUAAAAAUUAGGUAUCAAAACGUCUAAUCAUCGAGUUGGUUAUAAGCACUUUAUUUUGGAUAUGUAUUUUGUUCGGAGAACUCAUGUAUUUAAUUUGAUGUUUUAAGUGGAAUGCUUUAUAUAAUUUU